AGUCUUGGCUCGUUUGGGGUAUCAAAGGCCUCUCUCUCUCUCUCUCUCUCUCUCUAUCCCUUUUCCUAUCCCGAUUCCUUUGUAUCGUUCCCCUUCGACUCGCGUUGCUCGCCGCGUAUAGACAAUACGAUCGGUGUCACUAUACACAAUCCUCCGUUUCCGACGACCGACUUAGCCACCGUGUUGUGUUGUCGCGCAAGCGUGUUGAAUCGAAAGGAGCGGGCUAGGGGUCGCCGGGAGAAAGAGGGAGUCCCGGCAAAUCAAUACGUAUAUAUCCGCUAGUAACCGGCCAGUUGGGGCUCAUCCUUCGCGAUAGAAGCAUCGAGAUCCGAAACGACGAGCAUCGAAAUUCAUCCGGAUAGUUUUCCGCUCGAUGUUCUCUUUUUAACCGCUUACCUCGCCGAUCGAUUCUCUCCUCGUUUUACAAAGGAAAGUCACGCGACCCGCGAGCUAUCCGGUGCACGCCAGGCGGCUAUAUCGGCCCAAGGUGCAAGGUGCUACCGCUCGGAAAGACGUUCGGGGCUCGGGUUCGCGAUUAACGAGCAAGUAAGUCGAGGGGGAAAAAGAGAAGAGGAAAGGGAAGAGAGUGCGAAUCCGGUGGAAGAAAUUGCUGGAGGAGUUUGAUCGCGAGGGAGAGAGAGAGAGAGGGAGAGAGAGAGUAACGCGAGGAGGGUAUCGAGAAGGAAGCAACGCGAUCAUCGAUCGGUGGCAACUUGACUCG